UGACGCGGCCUCCUAACCCUCUCUCCUGCU
rnacentral:piRNA from 1 species